GCCAAGGAUGGACGGGUGAUAUCGACACCCGGACCAUGAAAAAAGUUUAAAUGUUUUUGUGCAACGUGUAUGUGGCCGUUUCUUUCUGUUUUUUGCUGUUUGCUGUUGUACGGAGGACUAAGUUAGCAUUCAAAAUUUAAAAAUCAAAUGUACAUUCCUAAGAUGCACUUUCUUACACCUCUAUGUAGCGGUACUUUUUUAGUAUUUGACCAUUAGCUCCGAUGAUGACGUUUAUGUCGAAAGCGCUCAGCUAAGUAAAUAAAAUUAUUUACACACUUUGA